GACGAACGCUGGCGGCGUGCCUAACACAUGCAAGUCGAGCGGAGUCGAUCGACGGAAGCCUUCGGGCGGAAGAUGGUUGACUUAGCGGCGGAUGGGUGAGUAACGCGUGGGCAACCUGCCUCGAAGACCGGGAUAACAGCCCGAAAGGGCUGCUAAUACCGGAUGUGGUCAAGGAUCCGCAUGGAUUUUUGAUUAAAGGGGAAACCCGUUUCGAGAUGGGCCCGCGUCCUAUCAGCUAGUUGGUGAGGUAAAAGCUCACCAAGGCGACGACGGGUAGCCGGCCUGAGAGGGUGACCGGCCACACUGGAACUGAGACACGGUCCAGACUCCUACGGGGGGCAGCAGUGGGGAAUCUUCCACAAUGGGCGAAAGCCUGAUGGAGCGACGCCGCGUGAGCGAAGAAGGCCUUCGGUUGUAAGACUCUGUCUGGAGGGACGGAAGGAAGUGACGGUACCUCCGGAGGAAGCCACGGCUAACUACGUGCCAGCAGCCGCGGUAAAGGUACUCUAU
rnacentral:rRNA from 1 species